rnacentral:lncRNA from 1 species
GUGGAAUUCAUUUUUAAAAUGAGAAUAUUACGUUGAUUUCAUUCAACAAAAGAAUAAGUAUUAGAGAAAAUGUUGAAUAGAGUGUGAUUAUAAGACUCUUCUUUCAAGGAUGUCCACAAGUAAGAUUAUGUUGUAAAUGUUAACGGAACAUCGGAAGAUGUGUUUAGAAUCUCACAUUAGUUGAGAAUCCUUAAAAUAUGUGUCUUUACAAGUUCUAGCCCUGCCUCUUAUAAGAAGAAGUCCCCCUACCAUUCCUUCGACGGCUCCGCUAGUAAAAAACAGUAAAGGCCGUCGGAAUAGUACUCUAUUUGGCAGGCCACUUUAUUCACGUGAAACGUGAGAACUACAAAAAUGGGUGCUUCUUUCUUUCUAUUAUUUUCUUCGUUGUUUAGUCAAGACUAUAAAAAGUUGUGGGGGCUCACUUCACAAUUUUUGGAUGAGAAUUGUUAUUUGUUAUAAUUUUACGAUAAUUUUUGAACAAUUGUUUUUUUUUUCUGAAUAUAAAGAGUGAUAAAGAAUAUUGUGACAGAAGUUGUCAAAUAUGUUAUAUCAAUUAUCAUUACUCUUUCUGAUGUCCCUUUCUUU